UCAGCUAUGGCGCAGCGGUUAUCGUGUUAGUCUUGCAUGGCAGAGGUCACGGGAUCGACUCCUGGUCGGGGAU